rnacentral:tRNA from 1 species
UUAUAUAGUUUAAAAAAAACAUUAUAUUUUCAAUAUAAAAAUAAUUAAAUUUAAUUUAUAAAUA